UCCUUUUGGCUUAGAAUUUCUGUCAAAGUGAGUGUAGUGAGGAUUUUGGGAGCGCCAAAACUGCUUUCACUCUGAGAGAUUUUUCUUGUAUCUCAAGUUUCUCUGCUGCUUUUGAUUUUUCACCUGUUUUGGUUGUCUGUGAAUAUUUGCCUUCUGUUUCGGCUUCUUAGCAACAGGUUCACUCUUCAUGGAAGAGGUUUAGCUAGUUGAGGUGACAUCUUCCAUUGGAAUCUCUUUUGUGCCGUGUUUCGGCUUCUUAGCAACAGGUUCACUCUUCAUGGAAGAGGUUUAGCUAGUUGAGGUGACAUCUUCCAUUGGAAUCUCUUUUGUGCCGUUG
rnacentral:lncRNA from 1 species